GAGUUUGAUCGUGGCUCAGAACGAACGCUGGCGGCAGGCCUAACACAUGCAAGUCGAGCGCACUCUUCGGAGUGAGCGGCGGACGGGUUAGUAACGCGUGGGAAUGUACCCUUCUCUAAGGAAUAGCCUCGGGAAACUGAGAGUAAUACCUUGUACGCCCUCGGGAAGGAUUAUCGGAGAAGGAUCAGCCCGCCGUUAGUAUUAGAUAGUUGGUUGGGGUAAGU
rnacentral:rRNA from 1 species